AUACUUGGCAGGGGAGAUACCAUGAUCACGAAGGUGGUUUCCCUAGGGCGAGGCUUAUCCAUUGCACUGACCCCCUGAGAUUUUCCUAAACGUGGGAAACUCGACUGGCAUAAUUUGUGGUAGUGGGGGACUGCAUUCACCUCUCCCUGA
ensembl:snRNA U1 U1 spliceosomal RNA